UGACGUGUAGUUAGUUACUUAUGCAUAUAUCUCGCAUAAUUCUACAGAAAUACCAGUUACUCUUUAAUAUUAAUUAAUAUCUCAUUUGAAAAAAUGGGAAAAUUGUAGUCGAUAGCUUGUUUGUGUGCGUGACCAUGCGUGACCUUACACUGUCCGUGUAAAGCAACAUGGCGAAGUCAAGUUUAAUCAUAGCGAACACAGAUGUCAUCUUAACACAGGUAACCUAACUAUUUAGUAACAAAUUUCCUCAAUAGGUGGCUACGGAUAAAAUUAUCUCAUUACAAAAUAGUGAAACAUAUUUUACAUUGCAAAAAUACUCCAGUAAAAUUGGAACCAUUCAUUCGUACAAGUAACUAUGUAAUCGGAUGUCAGGUAAGAUUUGCUUCUUUGAUAGUUUCCCGGAAUCUUUUUUAAUCACUAACCAGUUUAAGACCUAGAUUAUAUGUAAUAAAUUUACAAGAUUAAAAUUAAAAUGAAAGAUUAUAUAUAUUUUUAACGCAUUAUCAUUGAUUUAUUUACUGAACUAAAAGAUUAAAAUAUUUAUAGGAGCAUUAUCAUUACCUCAUUACAUAAUAAUUGUGUCCGGGAACGUGCGGAGGGCACUUUAUUUGCCAUAGACAACUUAUGCAUUUUUCUGCAUUUAUUUUUUCCUACUACCGCUUGAUUUUGUUUCCGUUUAUGUCAAAAGUGUCAAAACAGUUUCAAAAUAUUGUAAAUUUAUUGCAAAUAAUCUCAGACAUUUAGUUGAAGUGUUAUUUGUUCUUUGUUAUAUAACGGAGAAACGGAGGGUGGAAUUUUUUGUAUAAUAAUUGUAUAUAGAUUAUAGAUUUGUCUGGUCAAUUAGUUUGCCCCGAACACCGCUAUGGGCAGAACCACAAAGCGGCGUACAAAAAACAUACAUAAACGACGUAAAGUAGGUACAAGCUGCCUUACAAUAUCACUAUCACCAUAGCACCAAAUCGAAAAACCUGGCUUGGCUAAAUGUUUUGUAUUACUGCUGAAACGUCAAACGGUUCAACGAAUGCAGA